rnacentral:lncRNA from 1 species
UUUGAUUGAUCUUUUUGCUUGAAUAUGCUUUCUUAUUGUUGUAGGAGCUUUGGAAGAUGGUAUUUAUAUCAUCUAACAAAUUUUCAACCAUUGAGGUUAUUGUGAAAGUUAAUAGAGCCGUUGGGAUGGAAAUACCAGUGCAUUUAAUUCACCUGCAACAAAAGGUAUCGAUACUAUUUGGAAAAGUAUCGAUAAUUUUAGCAUUUAAUGCAUUGAUUUAGUGACAGUUAAAAUUGAUAAAAUCGAUACCAAGAUAAAAUUACUGAUACCAAAUAAAAGGUAUCCAUACUAGAUAGAUACUUGAUGAAUACCUCAAAAUGGCAGAAUGCAAAUUUCAUAUCAAUACUAAAAAAUGUAUUGAUAAAGUGUGUCAAUAUCGACACCAUUUAAAAAUUUAUCGAUAGCUAACAAAAAGAUAUUGAUACCGUAGCGACACUUGGUAAAAUGUUUCUGAGUCAGUAGCCUAUUUUGGUAUCAAUUUCUAGAAAUCUAUUGAUACCUGACAAAAAAGUAUUGACAGUGGAUCGAUACUUUUGGGCUUGAAGCAUUUUUGACUUGUUUGAAAAAAAUGUUUUGAAGUGUUGUUUUUAAUUUACUUGACCUUUAAAAGUUUUCUAAGUAUAAAUUUGAUAUUUUUAUAUUUUAAAAAUAAUUUGAAGUAUAAUUUUGCCAAGUGUUGUUUAAAAUGAUUUUUAUUCAAAACAUGGUGUUUGUUAUAUCAAAAUGUUUCUAUCAAAUAAAGUUUGGGUCAACAAUCUCCCAAUCGAUUGUUAUACAUGAUAAAGGCAACAUUUGAACGCCUAUUUGACUGAAAGCAAUCGAUCCACCAAUAGUCGGUGUUUUGAAUGACAAUAUGCUUAGAUAUAGGAUUAAAGAUCCAAGAGAUAACGAUAUGUAAGAGUCGGUCAUGCAUAUCUAAGUUAACAGCAAGAUUAGAUGGAACAAAAAUGGUAGAAUUAACUGGACCCUUUUCAUUAGACACCACCGGGAGGUAAGAACAAAAAUUUUUCAAAAUCUUCUAUAGUGUGGUGAAUAUGUGUAUUCAUAAUAUAGGAAUUAAUGACAAUAACAAUUUUGCCAAACUCAUCAUGUUCGAGCUUGUUGUUACUAUAAAAUGCUCGGACAAUGUUUUCGAAAUUGGGAGAAAGUAUUCUAAAGAAAUCAAGUAAUUGUCACUCACAAAAAAAGCGAGGAUAAUGAAAAUUAAAUGAUUCUAAAGAAUCAACAUCUAAAGUUCUAAAGGUAUUAACUAGACGAGUGACGAAGUUUCUAUCAAACCGUUCUCGUUCUGUUGGAGAAUGAAAACAUUUUCCAAAGGACGAGUUAGACCCACUAGAGGCAGUAACAUAAGAGGGACCGAAUUUAGGACUUUUCUUAAGAGGCAUACUUGUAAUCUAAAGUUCUAAGACACUAAAUUUACUAAGAAAAUUCAUUGGGGAAUUUCUACAAACACUUUGUGAGCAAGAUGUUAAAACCAGAUAUUCAACAAUGUGGGAAAAAAUUAGGUAACCCCCUGAACAAAAACACAACAAAUAAGUUCUAAAUCAUCCCAAAACUCAAUUUCAAAAUAAUAAUUUAGCAAAAAAUUUAAUGAAAUUUUGAAAUAAAUUUUUUUACCUCAAAAUGUGUCUUAAAAUAGUGAAAUCCUUGAGCAACCUUGUGUAAUCCUUGAUGAAAAUGAUAAUGAAAGUUGUUUUUGUUUAGGGUUUGGAGGUAUGAAAAAUAGAUGAAUUUUUUGGGGGAAACUGUUUAUGAUUAAAAACACGGUGCAAUAUCAUUAAAC